UAAAUUGAUGACUAAUCAUGUGAUAUAUACGUAUGAUAUAUAAACCGGAAGUGAUAUCCUGUUUUCUACGAAUUUUAGAACUUACCUUAAUUAUCACUUUCGUUCAUACAUUUAUACGUUAGUUUACUCUAAAAAGGUAUAUACUCAUUAUCAAUUAUACAUGAUGCAUUAAAAUGCAUAAAACAUUUAAAAUAAAUGCAUACCCGUAAACAUAGAUCUACAUUAUUGUAUGUAGUCUAAAGGAUAUUAUAAAUAAGCUAUGAGUUGUAAUACAAUGUUGGUACACUUUAUUUUUAUAAUCGUAUAAUAUUGUACAAAUUAUUACAGUAAACUAUAUAUUUCUGUAAUUACGUCUAUGAAUGUUUCUCUGUUUUACCAACAUAGUUUGCCAUAAAAGUGGCUGACAAGUGGUAGUUCAAUUAAAUAAUAUAACCAUACAGUGUAAAAAUGCACUAUGUUAUGUCCUUUAUCGAAUGCAAUCUUUUUUUUCUAAAAUUAUUUCCUACAAUAACGUACAAAACUUAUUAAGAAAAGAUCAAAAUUAUUAAAUUAAUUCUGUUACUUCUUUCGACUAUCUACAUAUUCAUAUAAGCCUAUUAUAUAAAUCCAUAGUGCUUACAAGAAGAUAAUUAACUGUCCCUUCUUAUACCACGCUAUCACUAUGCUAUAAUAAUUAUAUAUAUAUAUAUAUAUAUUACAUAUAUAUAUAUAUAUAUGAUUUUACAUAUUUAUAUAUAUAAUACUUUUCUUGAUAUUAUAUAUAUACAUAUAUAAAUAUAUAUGUGUAGAUGUCACGUUGUUCAUACUAACAAAUUCGGUAUUUCAUAAUAAAUUUAUCGUUCCAACGGAAAAAAUGUAUACACAUAUGUGUGUCAUCCUAUUUUAUUGAUAUAGUCGUUUAUAUUAUAUUCUAUAUUAAUGUACAUUUUUGUUUAUAUAAGAGCGCAAAAAUAAAACUUAAUAUUUUAUUAUAACGUCUGCCACGAAAAAUUUAAACUUAUAGCAAUAGAUACAAUUUACAA